rnacentral:rRNA from 1 species
UACGUAGGUGACCAGCGUUGUCCGGAUUUACUGGGCGUAAAGAGCGCGCAGGCGGUCGUUCAAGUCGAGUGUGAAAGCCCCCGGCUCAACUGGGGAGGGUCAUUCGAUACUGAUCGACUGGAAGGCAGGAGAGGGAAGCGGAAUUCCCGGUGUAGUGGUGAAAUGCGUAGAUAUCGGGAGGAACACCAGUGGCGAAGGCGGCUUCCUGGCCUGUUCUUGACGCUGAGGCGCGGAAAGCUAGGGGAGCAAACAGG